rnacentral:rRNA from 1 species
GACGAACGCUGGCGGCGUGCUUAACACAUGCAAGUCGAACGGAAAGGCCCUGCUUGCAGGGUACUCGAGUGGCGAACGGGUGAGUAACACGUGGGUGAUCUGCCCUGCACUUCGGGAUAAGCCGGGGAAACUGGGUCUAAUACCGGAUAGGAGCCAUUUUUAGUGUGAUGGUUGGAAAGUUUUUUCGGUGUAGGAUGAGCUCGCGGCCUAUCAGCUUGUUGGUGGGGUAAUGGCCUACCAAGGCGGCGACGGGUAGCCGGCCUGAGAGGGUGGACGGCCACAUUGGGACUGAGAUACGGCCCAGACUCCUACGGGAGGCAGCAGUGGGGAAUAUUGCACAAUGGGCGCAAGCCUGAUGCAGCGACGCCGCGUGGGGGAUGACGGCCUUCGGGUUGUAAACUCCUUUCGCUAGGGACGAAGCUUUUUGUGACGGUACCUAGAGAAGAAGCACCGGCUAACUACGUG